rnacentral:ncRNA from 1 species
UCCUGAUAAAGGCAAAACCAUCCAAAGAUGGUGACGCAAAGCUAUAGGGGCUAAAGCGAACAUUCGCUAUGCCAGCCAGCUGCCGGG